AAUUUCUUUUUCUUUUGCCUUUGUUCCCCACAUCACACAGCGCACGGAGCUGCCGCAGUGGACCGGCCGCUACUCUGGGCAGUGCGCACCAGAGGCUGAAGCUUGGGUUAGAAAGUUGGAAGAGCUGAAGUUAGGAAGGCGGUUGUCCAUGACUCUGCUGGCUUCGGGGCUCACAGCACGGUCGACAUGCUUGGCUGCUGAGAACGCCGAACCCUAUCACACCGGAAAGAGGCGUUCUCUGCGUUCUCUACUGGAACUUGCGAUGAGACAUCCCCCGGGAUGGGGAGGGGCCAGUUUGGCGAACCAACAAUGCCACAACCUCAGGUGGUGAAGACUGCACGAUCCCCAUUCCCUUUUUACUCAGAGAUAAGAGGCUUUGCCCGAGGCCAACGCAGCUAGGAAAUGGCAGAGCCGGGAUUCGGACCCAGGUCAUCCAUCUCCUGAGCACCUGUGUGCUCCGAACCUCUACACCAUGUCACCUGUGCUGAGAGAGCAUCUAAGUCAACCGUCGUCUCCCCCCCGAGGACAGGAAUUUUGUGUGCCUUCUGCGCAGCUGAAUUCCCAGUGCUUAGGACAGGGCGAGGCACGGAGCAGUACCCGAUAGAUACCCGUUAAAGGAAGGAAUGAACAAAUUCAGAAAGAGACUCAUUUUCACCGGUUGUUGAUGAUGGUGGUGGUGGUGGCGGUGAUGAAGAAAUAAAUGACAUGGGGUACAAUGACUUGGGGAAAAUCGCUCGGCAGCUUCCUAAAAAGUUAGAUGCGUAACUCCCAUAUACGACCCGGGCAUCCACUCCUAGGGGUACACGCUGGAGAAAUGACAGCCGAUGUUCACACAAAGACUUGUACACCAGUGUUCAAAGCACUCCUAUUUGUAAUGGCCCCAAACUGGAAGCAACCCCAAUGUCCAACCAACAGGUGACUCAAUAAACCAACCGGGGUGACUUAACCUGUUCCACGCAAUGGCCUAGUUCCACACGCACGGAUCUCAAAACAAUGAUGCUGGGUGGAAAAACAACAACAACAACAGAAAAAGCCAGACGUGGGAAUACAUACUACAUAAAUUGCAUUCCAGAAAAUGCAAACUAACCAAUGGUGACAGAAAGCGGAUCUGUCUUUGUGCGGGGCGGAGUGUGUGCGGAGGAGGGCUGUGGGUGGAGGGUUUACCAAGAGGCAUGAAGAAAUUCGGGAACGAUGGAUAUGUUCAUUCUCACCAUCAUGAUCUUUUCUUUUUUUUUUUUAACAUUUCAUAUUA